UGUGAGACAGGUGCUGCAUGGCUGUCGUCAGCUCGUGUUGUGAAAUGUUGGGUUAAGUCCCGCAACGAGCGCAACCCUAUCCUUGUUGCCAGCGGUCCGGCCGGGAACUCAAAGGAGACUGCCAGUGAUAAACUGGAGGAAGGUGGGGAUGACGUCAAGUCAUCAUGGCCCUUACGACCAGGGCUACACACGUGCUACAAUGGCAUAUACAAAGAGAAGCGACCUCGCGAGAGCAAGCGGACCUCAUAAAGUAUGUCGUAGUCCGGAUUGGAGUCUGCAACUCGACUCCAUGAAGUCGGAAUCGCUAGUAAUCGUGGAUCAGAAUGCCACGGUGAAUACGUUCCCGGGCCUU
rnacentral:rRNA from 1 species